rnacentral:rRNA from 1 species
UACGUAGGGGGGAAGCGUUAUCCGGAAUUAUUGGGUGUAAAGGGUGCGUAGGCGGGUACUUAAGUUGGUUGUGAAAUCCCUCGGCUUAACUGAGGAACUGCAACCAAAACUGGGUAUCUUGAGUGCAGGAGAGGAAAGUGGAAUUCCUAGUGUAGCGGUGAAAUGCGUAGAUAUUAGGAGGAACACCAGUGGCGAAGGCGACUUUCUGGACUGUAACUGACGUUGAGGCACGAAAGUGUGGGGAGCAAACAGG